rnacentral:miRNA from 1 species
AGGCGUGGUGGCGGGCGCCUGUGAUCCCAGCUACUCAGGAGGCUGAGGCAAGAGAAUUGCUUGAACCUGGGAGACGGAGGCUGCAGUGAGC